GUACUCAUUUUAGCAGCACAUAUACUCAAAUUGGAAUAAUAUAGAGUAGAUUCACAUGGUCCCUGGAUGACAGGUAAAUUCAUGAAGCUGUCCAUACUUUC
rnacentral:snRNA from 1 species